AUGGCUGCCAUCGGAGCAGAGGUCACCAGCUCAUUCUUCCUGCCGCCGGGAGUCGUCAGCGUCUUCAUCCUCCUCCUCCUCCUCUCCAUCUUCCUCACGUCUCUCUGCAGCGACUGUGGCAGGUUGGUGGUUCUAUUCUCAUGGAUGCAUGUUUCACUGGCGCCUCUCAGCAUCUCUGUUUACGUUGCUCACGUUGCUUCAACGACCAACAAAACGUUGACGUCUGUGCUUCGCUGUUUUUCCAGACGUUCGUUUGAGUUGCAAGAAUCAAGUGUAGACAAACAUCCCUCAUCCCUCAUCAAAGUGGUGAAGCUGGAGGACGCCAUGACGGCCCGAGAGAAUCCCAUGAUCCACGAGAUCCAGAGCGACGAAAAAGAGAAUCACCUGAAGGAGGGAACCCGAGUCCAGGCCGCUGCACCGAGCAGCCACAUGGUGGCGCCACCGCUCAACCAAGAUCACAUCUACCACACCAUUGGAGAGGAGCAGGCUGCGCCAUCACCUGCGGCCAAUCAGGAGCCUCGUUCCGAAGCAGCAGCGGAGGGUCUGGGCGGCAGCAAUGUGAACUCAGUUUACGCACAAGUCAGCAAGAAGGCGACAAAGACCCCGACCGCCGCCACCGUCCAUCCACCUGAACAGGUGCAGGAGGAGGAGGAGUCACCACCGCUGCCUGGCAGGACCGCGGACGUGGAGGCAUGA
rnacentral:lncRNA from 1 species